AGUGAACGCUGGCGGUAGGCCUAACACAUGCAAGUCGAACGGCAGCACAGGAGAGCUUGCUCUCUGGGUGGCGAGUGGCGGACGGGUGAGGAAUACAUCGGAAUCUGCCCAGUCGUGGGGGACAACGUAGGGAAACUUACGCUAAUACCGCAUACGACCUUCGGGUGAAAGAGGGGGAGCGCAAGACCUCUCGCGAUUGGAUGAGCCGAUGUCGGAUUAGCUAGUUGGCGGGGUAAUGGCCCACCAAGGCGACGAGCCGUAGCUGGUCUGAGAGGAUGAUCAGCCACACUGGAACUGAGACACGGUCCAGACUCCUACGGGAGGCAGCAGUGGGGAAUAUUGGACAAUGGGCGCAAGCCUGAUCCAGCCAUACCGCGUGGGUGAAGAAGGCCUUCGGGUUGUAAAGCCCUUUUGUUGGGAAAGAAAUCUUUCAGGCUAAUACCCUGGGAGGAUGACGGUACCCAAAGAAUAAGCACCGGCUAACUUCGUG
rnacentral:rRNA from 1 species